rnacentral:lncRNA from 1 species
GAAACAUGAUGACAAGAACUGUUGCUUAUUACUUUCCUAAGCCCUAAUUGUGUACCUUGAUCCACAGGACAAAAUAUUGCACCAGGACAGAUCAUAGCUCAAGAGCUCCAACUAGAACAUCAACCCCAAGGCCUGCCUGAUGCAGUGUUUGUACAACACUUAUCAUGAAGAGUCCAUUGAGCUGGGCAAAAUCAGCAGAAGUUAUUGCCAAGGACAGACUUGGUAAUCAGAUCUUGAAAAAGAAAAAAAACCCUAAAAGUUUGUGCCUAUGCUGGAGUAAUUCCAGUUACAGAUUGUCAUCAUCUCCAUACUGCUGGGAGAAACUUAGAUCCAUCACAACCUUUCCAUGCUGGGCAAGCAGACAAAGAAGUUC